rnacentral:rRNA from 1 species
ACCAAGGAGUUUAUCGUGUACGCAAGUCAUUGGGUGAAUAAAACCCAAAGGCGAAAUGAAAGUAAAGAGUUGAGUUUAUAAAUUAAGAAUUUAUUCUUUUUUUAUUUUUCUCUCUUGAGGGAAGAUGAAAAUUUAAUUUAUAAUCUAUAUAUGUACUUGUUAUAUGUAUAAUUAUUUAUUUAAAUUUUUCGCAUUCCCAGGGCGCUUGUUUCACGCUUUGCGUGUCGAUGCGCACCUAGAGCGUACACGCUGAUACCCGAAAGAUGGUGAACUAUGCCUGGCCAGGACGAAGCCAGGGGAAACCCUGGUGGAGGUCCGCAGCGAUUCUGACGUGCAAAUCGAUCGUCGGAGCUGGGUAUAGGGGCGAAAGACCAAUCGAACCAUCUAGUAGCUGGUUCCCUCUGAAGUUUCCCUCAGGAUAGCUUGCGCUCGGUUGAUAUGAGUCUCAUCCGGUAGAGCGAAUGAUUAGAGGCAUUGGGGUCGAAACGACCUCAACCUAUUCUCAAACUCCAAAUAGAUGAGACCCCCGGCUUUCUUAAAAUUGAAGCCGUGGGAAUAUGAUCAGAGUGCCAAGUGGGCCAAUUUUGGU